UCAACAGAACAAAUUAAAGCGCAGUUAUUGAAACAGAGAAAUUGUAAUUAAUGUAUGAACAUUGCAGAUGUCAGAUAGGGAAGAAAGCCACCACUUGGAGAAGAGAGUCAACAAUGACGGGGAGGGUCGGCACCACCUAAUCUCAAUGCCAUUGAAGACAAGGUCUUGUCAUUGAUUCCAAUUGUUCAGAUAGAGGGAAUAGAAGGUGGUGCAGAAACAGCACUAGUUGAUGAAAACAACUUGAGCAUAUUAGUAUCAGCAGAUGAUGUCAUCGCAUCCAGCAAUACGUCUUCGCUUGCACCUGUCGAUGAAUCUUCACCUGAACCAUUGUCAAAUGAUGACAGUCAGGACCAACAGAAGACACCGUGUAAG